rnacentral:hammerhead_ribozyme from 1 species
AUCCCGCUGACGAGUCCCAAAUAGGACGAAACAUGCGUCAAACUGGAU